rnacentral:rRNA from 1 species
ACGUAGGGGGCGAGCGUUAUCCGGAUUCAUUGGGCGUAAAGCGCGCGUAGGCGGCCUGUUAGGUCGGGAGUUAAAUCCGGGGGCUCAACCCCCGUCCGCUCCCGAUACCGGCGGGCUUGAGUCUGGUAGGGGAAGGCGGAAUUCCCAGUGUAGCGGUGGAAUGCGCAGAUAUUGGGAAGAACACCGGUGGCGAAGGCGGCCUUCUGGGCCACGACUGACGCUGAGGCGCGAAAGCUAGGGGAGCGAACAG